UGCUAAAAAUUUUCAUCCAUUAGUAAUAUUAAAAAUUGACAUGACUCAUGGAAUAACCAAACAGUAACACGUGGCGUGUUAUGUGUACUUCAUGUUGAUGUAAAUGACCAAUUUUAACAGCAAAAAUAAAUAGAAUUUUUAACA
rfam:Gossypium hirsutum cultivar TM-1 chromosome 20, whole genome shotgun sequence